rnacentral:rRNA from 1 species
AUUGAACGCUGGCGGCAUGCUUUACACAUGCAAGUCGGACGAGUGGCGAACGGGUGAGUAACGCAUCGGAAUGUACCGAAUAAUGGGGGAUAACUGUCGGAAACGACAGCUAAUACCGCAUACUAUCCGAGCGGCCGAUUGCUGAUUAGCUGGUUGGCGGGGUAAAGGCCCACCAAGGCGACGAUCAGUAGCGGGUCUGAGAGGAUGAUCCGCCACACUGGGACUGAGACACGGCCCAGAUCCCUACGGGAGGCAGCAGUGGGGAAUAUUGGACAAUGGGCGCAAGCCUGAUCCAGCCAUGCCGCGUGUCUGAAGAAGGCCUUAGGGUUGUAAAGGACUUUUGUCAGGGAAGCGUUACCUGCAGAAUAAGCACCGGCUAACUACGUGCCAGCAGCCGCGGUAAUUC